GAUUCCCUUUAAAAAGAAACAACCUGUAAUUUAAUAAACGCGUAAUUUUGAAUCAUUUUUACUGAAAGUUAAAAGGUUAUCGUUUAAUAUUACAGCAAAUGUCCUGUAACAAAAAGGAGCAUGACAGUUGCUGUAAUUAUACUGGUGGAAAAAAAAAACGUGUUGAUAAAUUACGUGUCUUCAAUUAAUUUUCAAUCGCACAUUAGAAAAAAAUUUGUAACUGGCAUCCCAGUAAGCGACCAAAGAAGAAACGUCAAAAGCAGCGCGCGGACUUUGUUUUGAUUCGGUUGUUCGUUUCGUGCCAGAGAAAUUCCAGCAGCAGGAAAAGCCGGCGAACAACUUCGUGGCUAUCCUUUAAGUGGUGUACUGUUUUUCGUUUCCAUCAAAAAACGCCGAUUCGGGAAAUUUAUUUAAUCUUGCGAUAGUGAUAUACACUGAGCAGUGCAGUGCAAUUAUCCAGAUGUGCUGUUCCUGUCCGGAAGCGUAAGCAGCAAAUUCAAACGACCGCCAACCAGGCGAAGAAGAUUACCAUGUCUGAACUGAAAACGAUGCAGCAACGUCUACGGAAACGGAGGAAGCAUAUUUCGCACUAUGGAGCAGGUGACGAGAGUAAGCUAACACAAGUACGGGGAAUAUUUCCCCGGGUACCAGGGAUCUGCGAAAUAUCAGCUGGCACAAAUAUUACGCUUUCAAUAUUCGGUCCCGACCAGCCUUGUAGUCUCUAGUGCAGUAUCGGAUUGUCAUCUAACACCCGCAAAUUUUCCAGCCGAAAUAACCAGAAAAUGCUACCAGAUAAUAAUCUCCAAUUGCCCAGGCGCGGAUCUAGAGAUUGCUUCUAGGGGGGGUGAUUUAGUAAAUUUUCCAAAAUAAGGG